rnacentral:rRNA from 1 species
GACGAACGCUGGCGACGUGCUUAACACAUGCAAGUCGAACGAUGAAACCUAGCUUGCUAGGUCGAUUAGUGGCGAACGGGUGAGUAACACGUGACUAACCUGCCCCUUUCUCUGGGAUAACGCUCCGAAAGGAGUGCUAAUACCGGAUACUCACACCGAGGCACAUGCCUUGGUGUGGAAAGUUUUUCGGAAAGGGAUGGAGUCGGGGCCGAUAAGCUUGUUGGUGAGGUAACGGCUCACCAAGGCGACGACGGGUAGCCGGCCUGAGAGGGGGACCGGCCACACUGGGACUGGGACACGGCCCAGACUUCUACGGGAGGCAGCGGUGGGGAAUAUUGCUCAAGGGGCGCAAGCCUGAUGCAGCGACGCCGCGUGAGGGAGGAAGGUCUUCGGAUUGUAAACCUCUUUCAGUAGGGACGAAGCGAAAGUGACGGUACCUAAAGAAGAAGCACCGGCUAACUACGUGCCAGCCGCCGCAGUAA